rnacentral:lncRNA from 1 species
GGAACCGGGCGGAGAAGAAGAUGACAGAGGAAAGACGACCCCUUUUUUCUUUUUUUUCUUUUUUUUGGUUUGGGCUUGAGCCUGAAAUAAUUGUUACUGAGCCUAUUUUUGUUUAGCCCAAAUGCCCAAUUGAAUUCUCAUAUGAAAUUAACAAAUGGUCCAAGACUCCAAAAUCAAACCAUUUGUUCGUGAAUUGGGAAUUGGCCCAAGUGCCCACUGCCCAACCAUUUUCCUUCAGAGGCAGCCAUAGCCACCGAUCCAAGAAAGAAUCCAAAUGCUCAAUUCCCAAUUCGUGAAAGAAAGCCAAACCCUUUUCCAAUUUUCCUCCCCUCUCCACUCUCCACUCUCCAAUCCACAUGGCGUAGACAGGGAGAGACUCAAUCCCCAUUCUAUAAUUCCAAAUUCCAUUCGAAAUUGAAGAAGAGGCAGCACAGUGAGCACAGACGCUAUGUUUUGCAGCUUCUAUUGCCGACUGCCGACUGCGAGCCGAGUCUGAGUGUCGUAAGUCUGUGACUGGUGACUCUUUCUCCCUCUCUCUCUUUUUAUGUUUAAUUUUUUGGCCACUUGACUUGUUGACAUUGAGUAAUGACGAAUGAAUGUUAAUUAUGUUAUGAUUAUAGUUUCGGAAAUUUAUGUUUCUGAAUUGUGAUUUAUUAUAAGUAAUUUAUCUUUUAAAGAGGAAUGACUUAUGUUUUGGAAGUUUAUGUUUACGAAAUUAUGUUUGCGAAUUGUGAUUUAUUAUAAGUAAUUUAUCUUUUAAAGAGGAAUGACUUAUGUUUUGGAAGUUUAUGUUUACGAAAUUAUGUUUGCGAAUUGUGAUUUAUUAUAAGUAAUUUAUGUUUUAACGAGGAAUGAAUAUUGAUUUGGGAAUUUAUGUUUACGAAAUUAUGUUUGGAAUUGUGAUUUAUAAUAAGUAAUUUAUGUUUUAAUGAGAAAUGAUUAUUGAAUGACUUUUAAUAUUAUUUUUAAUCAAAUUUAAAUAAAUGAUCGGACUAUUACGAUCGUUGAUUGUCGAUGGUCAACUGUUAAUAGUCAACCUCCGCUCUAACUGGACUUCAAUCUUGAAUUCGCCCUCAUAAUCACCACUAACAAUUUUUGAGCUUCAACUGUUAUUAACUUAAUUUUGGGCUUUAAAGAAGAAUUAGCCUAAAUUUUGGCUUCAAG